AUUCCAGCUCCCCUUUCGUCUCUUCCCGUUGUUGCCGUUCCCCCGCUCGUCGUCGGCUUUCGGGGCGGGCCGACCGGUCUGCCGAUGGGUAUGCACUGGCCGGCGCGUCCUUCCACCCGGAGACCGCGCCUACUCUUAACUGAGCGGGCGCGGGAGACGGGUCUUUUACUUUGAAAAAAUCAGAGUGUUUCAAGCAGGCAGUCGCUCUUGCAUGGAUUAGCAUGGGAUAAUGAAAUAGGACUCUGGUGCUAUUUUGUUGGUUUCGAACACCGGAGUAAUGAUUAACAGGGACAGUCAGGGGCACUCGUAUUCCGCCGAGAGAGGUGAAAUUCUCAGACCAGCGGAAGACGAACCACUGCGAAAGCAUUUGCCAGGGAUGUUUUCAUCA
rnacentral:rRNA from 1 species